rnacentral:pre_miRNA from 1 species
CGGGGGUGCAUUGUAGUUGCAUUGCAUGUGUCAGACCGGAGUGCAAUGCCCCUGCCGUGCAGCCCGG